AAGUCGUAACAAGGUUUCCGUAGGUGAACCUGCGGAAGGAUCAUUAAUGAAUGAUAAAUUUUUGGGGUUUUCCCUGAAAAAUAAUUCACCUUUUGUGCAUUGUUAUUAGAUACACUUUGGUUAGAGCUUUGAUUUCAUUUAUUGGAAUCAACUUCUUGCUAACUCUAUCCUGUUAAGGACAGUUGGCUAUGAAGCGGCCUACCAAGGUUUUUUUAUCAAACUCUUGUAUUUUGUCUGACCUAAAAUAUCAAUAAAUAAAUCAUAACUUUCAACAACGGAUCUCUUGGCUCUC
rnacentral:misc_RNA from 1 species